AGAACGAACGCUGGCGGCAUGCCUAACACAUGCAAGUCGAACGAGACCUUUCGGGGUCUAGUGGCGCACGGGUGCGUAACGCGUGGGAAUCUGCCCUUGGGUUCGGAAUAACAGUGGGAAACUGCUGCUAAUACCGGAUGAUAUCGAAAGAUCAAAGAUUUAUCGCCCAGGGAUGAGCCCGCGUAGGAUUAGCUAGUUGGUGGGGUAAUGGCUCACCAAGGCGACGAUCCUUAGCUGGUCUGAGAGGAUGAUCAGCCACACUGGGACUGAGACACGGCCCAGACUCCUACGGGAGGCAGCAGUGGGGAAUAUUGGACAAUGGGCGAAAGCCUGAUCCAGCAAUGCCGCGUGAGUGAUGAAGGCCUUAGGGUUGUAAAGCUCUUUUACCAGGGAUGAUAAUGACAGUACCUGGAGAAUAAGCUCCGGCUAACUCCGCGCCAGCAGCCGC
rnacentral:rRNA from 1 species